ACACGACUACAUUAGAUACCCGUGUAGUCCUAGCCGUAAACGAUACUCGCUAGGUGUCGGCCACGGUGCGACCGUUGUCGGUGCCGUAGGGAAGCCGUGAAGCGAGCCACCUGGGAAGUACGGCCGCAAGGCUGAAACUUAAAGGAAUUGGCGGGGGAGCACCACAACGGGUGGAGCUUGCGGUUUAAUUGGAUUCAACGCCGGAAAUCUUACCGGGACCGACAGCAACAUGAAGGCCAGGCUGAAGACUUCGCCGGAUUAGCUG
rnacentral:rRNA from 1 species